UGCGUAGGCGGACUAAUAAGUCAGUGGUGAAAUCUCUCGGCUCAACCGGGAAACUGCCAUUGAUACUGUUAGUCUUGAGUUCGGUUGAGGUAGGCGGAAUGUGUAAUGUAGCGGUGAAACGCUUAGAUAUUACACAGAACACCAAUUGCGUAGGCAGCUUACUAGACCGACACUGACGCUGAGGCACGAAAGCGUGGGUAGCGAACAGGAUUAGAUACCCUGGUAGUCC
rnacentral:rRNA from 1 species